rnacentral:rRNA from 1 species
GAUGAACGCUAGCUACAGGCUUAACACAUGCAAGUCGAGGGGAAACGGCAUCGAAAGCUUGCUUUUGAUGGGCGUCGACCGGCGCACGGGUGAGUAACGCGUAUCCAACCUGCCCAUCACUUGGGAAUAACCUUGCGAAAGUAAGACUAAUGCCCAAUGACAUCCCACGAAGGCAUCCGAAUGGGAUUAAAGAUUUAUCGGUGAUGGAUGGGGAUGCGUCUGAUUAGCUUGUUGGCGGGGUGACGGCCCACCAAGGCAACGAUCAGUAGGGGUUCUGAGAGGAAGGUCCCCCACAUUGGAACUGAGACACGGUCCAAACUCCUACGGGAGGCAGCAGUGAGGAAUAUUGGUCAAUGGGCGAGAGCCUGAACCAGCCAAGUAGCGUGCAGGAUGACGGCCCUAUGGGUUGUAAACUGCUUUUAGAAGGGAAUAAAGUGGGUCACGUGUGACUUUUUGCAUGUACCUUAUGAAUAAGGACCGGCUAAUUCCGCG